rnacentral:rRNA from 1 species
GUAUAAGAGACAGCAGUAGCCGCGGUAACACGAGGGGAGCUAGCGUCAUUCGGAAUUACUGGGCGUAAAGCGCACGUAGGCGGCUUUGUAAGUUAGAGGUGAAAGCCCAGAGCUCAACUCUGGAAUUGCCUUUAAGACUGCAUCGCUUGAAUCCAGGAGAGGUGAGUGGAAUUCCGAGUGUAGAGGUGAAAUUCGUAGAUAUUCGGAAGAACACCAGUGGCGAAGGCGGCUCACUGGACUGGUAUUGACGCUGGGGUGCGAAAGCGUGGGGAGCAAACAGGAUUAGAUACCCGUGUAGUCCCUGUCUCUUAUAC